rnacentral:rRNA from 1 species
AGUGAACGCUGGCGGUAGGCCUAACACAUGCAAGUCGAACGGCAGCACAGGAGAGCUUGCUCUCUGGGUGGCGAGUGGCGGACGGGUGAGGAAUACAUCGGAAUCUACUUUUUCGUGGGGGAUAACGUAGGGAAACUUACCCUAAUACCGCAUACGACCUACGGGUGAAAGCAGGGGAUCUUCGGACUUUGCGCGAUUGAAUGAGCCGAUGUCGGAUUAGCGAGUUGGCGGGGUAAAGGCCCACCAAGGCGACGAUCCGUAGCUGGUCUGAGAGGAUGAUCAGCCACACUGGAAAUGAGACACGGUCCAGACUCCUACGGGAGGCAGCAGUGGGGAAUAUUGGACAAUGGGCGCAAGCCUGAUCCAGCCAUACCGCGUGGGUGAAGAAGGCCUUCGGGUUGUAAAGCCCUUUUGUUGGGAAAGAAAUCCAGCUGGUUAAUACCCGGUUGGGAUGACGGUACCCAAAGAAUAAGCACCGGCUAACUUCGUGCCAGCCGCCGCCGUAA